UGGAAAGAUAUUCUUUAAGACCACAUGUUCCAUUGCAUAAGAUUAGUCAAUUCAAUUUGGGAAUAUAUAUUGCAAAACAAUACUUAUUAGGAAUAUAGAUACUUACAAUUUCAGGGUUACUUACAGUUAAAGCUGUAGCGGUAAUGUCAUUGUUAACAGCUUUGAUGCAAUAAAUUUAUAUUCAAGUGUUACCCAAAAAAAGGAAUAUAGAUAUCAACUAAAGAUAGUGAAGUUGUACUUUUCUAAAGAAAUGUCGAAAUUUGUGAUUUUUCUUCUUCUUGUUGGUCUUCUUGUUAUUCAGAAUACCGAGUGUAGGAGUUGUUUGCGGACUCGUUUUGUGUGUACAAAGUAUUGUUAUUACCGUUGCUGUAGAUAUAAGAUGAUAACUUCCUAUAAAUAUUGUGAUUAUGGAAGACGAUCCAUCGAGAAUAGAAUUGAACUUGCUAAGCUCAAAGACACAUAGAUGACUAAGACCAAACUCAGCAGACAAAAGAUCAAGCUUCGUGAAAUAAAAAAAACAUAUUGAAACUAA